rnacentral:rRNA from 1 species
UACGUAGGGUGCGAGCGUUAAUCGGAAUUACUGGGCGUAAAGUGUGCGCAGGCGGCCGCGCAAGUCGAGUGUGAAAGCCCCGGGCUUAACUUGGGAAUUGCGCUCGAAACUACGAUGCUGGAGUGUGGCAGAGGAAGGUGGAAUUCCACGUGUAGCGGUGAAAUGCGUAGAGAUGUGGAGGAACACCAAUGGCGAAGGCAGCCUUCUGGGCCAACACUGACGCUCAUGCACGAAAGCGUGGGGAGCAAACAGG